CAGGAAUAUGAGAGUGGAGAGGAAGGUGUUGCGGCCCGUUGUGUCAGAGGAAAGAGAAGUUGCCGAGGCUGACAGAGAUCUCGGGGUCGAUGGAGGAGGCGAGAGGAAUGUGAGAAGAGAGACGGAGGAGGAGGAGAGGUGGGCUGCGAGGGAAGAAAAAGGGGAGGAAAUUUGUGUUAGGGAUCGAUUAGAAACAGAAGAGUUU
rnacentral:misc_RNA from 1 species